AGAUAUGAAAAAAUCGGAGGCAAAGAGGGCCUGGUGAUGAAAGGGGAGCUUUCAUUUGGCGCUGCAGGCGCCGGGAGCAGAGGAGCGGGGGCUGUGUGCUCAUCAGAGGCAGGUGGGCGGUGUGGGACAGAGGCGGCGCGUGCAGGGGGGCGGCCAGACAGCGGUGAGCGACAGUGCACGUCUUUAAACAGCAGAAUGACAAUUGGAAACAUAAAAGCCAAGGCGGAAAGUGCGAAGGAAAUGGAGAAAAACAAACCCGGACUCAACUAUAGCUACCUGAAUGAGCAGGAGUUGAGAGAAGAAACGGCCAGUCAGGAUUGUAAGGGGUUAGCAACGCCUGCUGCAAGAUGGAAUCCCCCAAUGGUUCUCCCCAAGGAGAGAGGCUUUUGGCACUUGGCUGGGUCUCCCCAGGAGGCAGGAUUUGCUCCAGAGGAUCUAAUUCUGGCUGAAACCUACCAAAUUCUCAGGAAGAGGAAAAGCACAUUUUUGAGGAGCCUACUCCCUGCGUGCGUGAGGACUCUGCAGCCUGUCAAGCAGAUACUGAGUUUGGAGCUGCGCUCACUCAGCGCGAUCAACGUGCACGGUUCCCAGCGCCGCCCCGCGCCUCCCCCUCCAGGCUCGAGCUCGGCCCGGGCUUCAGGGGCACCGGGUCGGCUUGUUCUCCCCUCCGCCGCAGUGUCCCCGCGUCGUCGACGGCGUGGAGAGCUGUUCUGACAGAGCGAGAGAAGCCCCGCGGGGGUCAAGGAGGGCCGCAGCUUCUUCUCCAGCUGGGCUUUUGCAAAGAGCCUCCUAUGGGCUUUUCUUGGCGGAUCUCGCUCUUCACUGGCGUCCCGGAGGCCGCCCCCGCCUGUUUUCAAGUCUGGAGAAAUUGGGCGUGGGGGGGAGGAGCGGCGGGGUGCGGUGAUACCCUGAGUGCUCUGCCUCUGAGGAGCUGUUGCCGGUAGGGGGUGUGUGUGUGUGAGUGUGUG
rnacentral:lncRNA from 1 species